GAGCGCCGUAGCAAUACGGAGCGGCAGACGGNGAGUAGUAACACGUGGGAACGUGCCCUUCAGUUCGGAACAACCCAGGGAAACUUGGGCUAAUACCGGAUACGUCCGUAAGGAGAAAGAUUUAUCGCUGAAGGAUCGGCCCGCGUCUGAUUAGCUAGUUGGUGGGGUAACGGCCCACCAAGGCGACGAUCAGUAGCUGGUCUGAGAGGAUGAUCAGCCUCACUGGGACUGAGACACGGCCCAGACUCCUACGGGAGGCAGCAGUGGGGAAUAUUGGACAAUGGGCGCAAGCCUGAUCCAGCCAUGCCGCGUGGGUGAUGAAGGCCCUAGGGUUGUAAAGCCCUUUCGGCGGGGAAGAUAAUGACGGUACCCGCAGAAGAAGCCCCGGCUAACUUCGUG
rnacentral:rRNA from 1 species